CAUUUCUUUAUAAUCGUUAUGCAGGAAAAUUGCCUAAGAAUUAUGACCCAAAAGUUACCCCAGAUCCAGAAAGAUGGCUGCCAAUGCGAGAACGUUCUUACUACCGGGGAAGAAAGAAGGGUAAAAAGAAGGAUCAGAUUGGAAAAGGGACCCAGGGAGCAACUGCAGGAGCUUCAUCUGAACUGGAUGCCAGUAAAACUGUGAGCAGCCCACCCACCUCCCCAAGACCUGGCAGUGCUGCAACAGUAUCUGCCUCUACAAGUAACAUCAUACCCCCAAGACACCAGAAACCUGCAGGGGCUCCAGCAACAAAAAAGAAACAGCAACAGAAAAAGAAGAAAGGUGGAAAAGGUGGCUGGUGAUGAGAAUAUUCUUGUUGCAGGCUGUUUUUAAACUAGUGUCAGUGACACUAGGAAUAUAAUAAAGGUAACACAGCAAGAAGCACAGAACUACUCCCUCUUCAUCUCCAUAUUUUCAUAAUUUCUUGUGUUUCAAAUAGGGAAACAUCUUCCUCAAAGUCUGCCUAGUGAGAUAUGGCCUACUGGUUGCCUCAUAGCUUUGUACAGAUUAUGAGGACUGAAAAUAAUUGGGCAUUUACCCAUCUUGGUAUCUGUUGUAUCCUUUAUCUGUGUGUGCUGAUUCGAUCUUUUUUCAGUUUCACAUACCUUAUCUAAGGUUUCCCAGGAUUUAAACAGAAACUACUUCUGUGAUUUCAGCUGGAGUCUGAAGAUACUUGUUUCUGUUCAAGUCCCACUUUAAAUUAUGUCUUAGGAGACUGAAAGUGGAAUCUUCUGAGCAUUCCUAAAUAUCUGCUUAGAAAUAUCAUGUGAUAAAGAGGGACCUUCUUAAUACACUGAUGUUCUUCACUAAAUGGAUGGCCACAAGAAAAAUAAAGUAAAUGUCUUAAAUAAUUUAACCAUAAAUUUUCUGUCAUGUGAUACUGGAAUAUGGGAUACUUUUCAUGUUUUUAUAUAUAUAUAAACAUAUAUAUAUAUUAUAUAUAUAUAUAUAUAUAUAUAUAUGGCUCCUUUGUGCCCCAUGUCAUUUUCAGAUUAUGGUAGCAUGCUGAUACAGCACCAUGAAAGAACUCAAGGAAAAUAUAUCAAUGUAAGAAGUUCACUCUUAGACCUAGUGUUCUGAGGUCACAUGGGUUUGGACUGUCUCAAUCAGAAAGAUUAAUGACUGUUAUCAAGAACAUGAACAUUGGCUUCCUCCAUAGAGAAGAAAUCAGUAUCUGAGUUGCAUACCAGGCAGUAUUAAAAUCUAACAGGUCUGUUUGGCCCAUUGAUAGAUACUCAAAUGGUGUCUCCUUCUGGUUAUGGAUUUUGACCAUUGAUUACCUUUCUCAAUGUAAUGAAGUAUUUUACAGUCAAUUUGUGGUGUAAAUGUUGCUCUUGUCUUUCCUUGCUUACAAACUACUUUCACAUUGAACAGCUGUGAGACAGACAUAUUGAGAUGCCUGCCCUUGUUAGUAUUCAUUUUAUGCUGCCCAAGAUAUCAUUUAAUUUAGACUUAACAAGUAUUUCCUUGUGAUUAUAUUACUCUGUCCUUGUUAAUAAAGUGCUGCUGUGUUUGACUCUGAACAUACUACCAAAACUUCUUCAAAGAGUUUUUUAUGAAAGACUUUCCUCCUUUACAAGAAAGAAAUGGGGUGCUGCCUUUCUGUUUAGUAAAAGCAGAAUUUGCAGUGGCAUCUAAAGAGAUCUUUUUUAAAUACAAAUGAUGUAUUGUGGCAUAAUCCUUUUUUUGAGCUCUACAGAGAACAGUCUUUUGGUAAUAGUGGCAGGUAUUUAUUCCUUCUGAAUAUAUACCCCAUUAUAGGAAUAACUGUUACUUAUUUAGGAUUCCAUCAUUGAAAAUUUUGACCCAAGGCACAGCAGUGAAAUUUAUAGUUCUCAAUUUAGUUGUCAUUAUUGACAGGCAUUGGUAUUAUUAGUCAUUGCUAAGCAACUGAAACUUCAUCAGUUCAAAUAAGUUUUAAUUGUCAAAUGAAGUAUAAACACAUGAACUUUCUAGAAAUAUUUCCUCUUUUGGAUAGGUCUUUAACCAGUUCAUAUAUAUACUUUGUCAAAUAUAUGGAUGUGUAUGUGUACAUUUAUAAGAACCAGUAUGGAUACAUCCAUUCACUGUGGUACAUUUUAAAAUAAAAUAUUUUAGCAGUGAAUAUGG
rnacentral:sRNA from 1 species